rnacentral:rRNA from 1 species
CCUACGGGGGACAGCAGUCGAGAAUCAUUCACAAUGGGGGAAACCCUGAUGGUGCGACGCCGCGUGGGGGAAUGAAGGUCUUCGGAUUGUAAACCCCUGUCAUGUGGGAGCAAAUUAAAAAGAUAGUACCACAAGAGGAAGAGACGGCUAACUCUGUGCCAGCAGCCGCGGUAAUACAGAGGUCUCAAGCGUUGUUCGGAAUCACUGGGCGUAAGGCGUGCGUAGGCUGUUUCGUAAGUCGUGUGUGAAAGGCGCGGGCUCAACCCGCGGACGGCACAUGAUACUGCGAGACUAGAGUAAUGGAGGGGGAACCGGAAUUCUCGGUGUAGCAGUGAAAUGCGUAGAUAUCGAGAGGAACACUCGUGGCGAAGGCGGGUUCCUGGACAUUAACUGACGCUGAGGCACGAAGGCCAGGGGAGCGAAAGGGAUUAGAUACCCGUGUAGUC